rnacentral:rRNA from 1 species
GUACACUCCUACGGGAGGCAGCAGUGGGGAAUUUUGGACAAUGGGCGAAAGCCUGAUCCAGCAAUGCCGCGUGAGUGAAGAAGGCCUUCGGGUUGUAAAGCUCUUUUGUCAGGGAAGAAACGGUGAGAGCUAAUAUCUCUUGCUAAUGACGGUACCUGAAGAAUAAGCACCGGCUAACUACGUGCCAGCAGCCGCGGUAAUACGUAGGGUGCAAGCGUUAAUCGGAAUUACUGGGCGUAAAGCGUGCGCAGGCGGUUUUGUAAGUCUGAUGUGAAAUCCCCGGGCUCAACCUGGGAAUUGCAUUGGAGACUGCAAGGCUAGAAUCUGGCAGAGGGGGGUAGAAUUCCACGUGUAGCAGUGAAAUGCGUAGAUAUGUGGAGGAACACCGAUGGCGAAGGCAGCCCCCUGGGUCAAGAUUGACGCUCAUGCACGAAAGCGUGGUGAGCAAACAGGAUUAGAUACCCCAGUAGUCCCAUGAU